CAGCCGCCGCGGGAAUACGUAGGUGGCAAGCGUUGUCCGGAAUUAUUGGGCGUAAAGGGCUCGCAGGCGGUUUCUUAAGUCUGAUGUGAAAGCCCCCGGCUCAACCGGGGAGGGUCAUUGGAAACUGGGAAACUUGAGUGCAGAAGAGGAGAGUGGAAUUCCACGUGUAGCGGUGAAAUGCGUAGAGAUGUGGAGGAACACCAGUGGCGAAGGCGACUCUCUGGUCUGUAACUGACGCUGAGGAGCGAACGCGUGGGGAGCGAACAGGAUUAGAUACCCCGGUAGUCCCUGUCUCUUAUAC
rnacentral:rRNA from 1 species